rnacentral:rRNA from 1 species
UACGUAGGGGCCGAGCGUUGUCCGGAGUUAUUGGGCGUAAAGCGCGCGCAGGCGGCUUGGCGCGCCCGACGUGAAAGCCCCCGGCUUAACCGGGGAGAGUCGUCGGGUACGGCCAGGCUUGAGGGCGGGAGAGGGUGGUGGAAUUCCCGGUGUAGUGGUGAAAUGCGUAGAGAUCGGGAGGAACACCUGUGGCGAAGGCGGAUCUCUGGGCCUUACCUGACGCUCAGGUGCGAAAGCUAGGGGAGCGAACAGG